CCACAUUCUUCUUCUAAGUUUUGA
rnacentral:siRNA from 1 species